rnacentral:rRNA from 1 species
UGGGGAAUAUUGCACAAUGGGGGAAACCCUGAUGCAGCCAUGCCGCGUGUGUGAAGAAGGCCUUCGGGUUGUAAAGCACUUUCAGCUGUGAGGAAGGGUGAGUCGUUAAUAGCGGUUCAUCUUGACGUUAGCAGCAGAAGAAGCACCGGCUAACUCCGUGCCAGCAGCCGCGGUAAUACGGAGGGUGCGAGCGUUAAUCGGAAUUACUGGGCGUAAAGCGCAUGCAGGCGGUCUGUUAAGCAAGAUGUGAAAGCCCCGGGCUCAACCUGGGAAAGUCAUUUUGAACUGGCAGGCUAGAGUCUUGUAGAGGGGGGUAGAAUUUCAGGUGUAGCGGUGAAAUGCGUAGAGAUCUGAAGGAAUACCGGUGGCGAAGGCGGCCCCCUGGACAAAGACUGACGCUCAGAUGCGAAAGCGUGGGGAGCAAACAGG